rfam:Thiovulum sp. ES ThvES_contig00056.56, whole genome shotgun sequence.
GGAAAAGUUACUCAAGGUUAAUGGUGGAUGCCUUGGCUGAUGGAGGCGAUGAAGGACGUAUUAGACUGCGAUAAGGCUCGACGAGUUGUCAAAAAACUUUGACUCGAGCAUCUCCGAAUAGGGCAACCCUUUAAGCAUUGCGCGAACCUAGUGAAGUGAAACAUCUCAGUAGCUAGAGGAAAAGAAAUCAAACGAGAUUCCCAAAGUAGUGGCGAACGAAAUGGGAACAGGGCUGUGUUAUUUAGGUUGAGAAAUAGAAAAAUCUUCUGGAAAGUUGAACUACAAAGAGUGAAAGUCUCGUAUUCAAAAUUUCUCUUCUGGAACUAGGAACACGAAUGAGUAGGUCGGGACACGUGUAAUCUUGACUGAAUAUGGGGGGACCACCCUCCAACCCUAAAUACUACCAUCAGACCGAUAGCGAACAAGUACCGUGAGGGAAAGGUGAAAAGAACCCCAGUGAGGGGAGUGAAAUAGAACCUGAAACCAUUAACUAACAAUCAUUCAAAGCACUUUUUAUGUGUGAUGGACUGCCUUUUGCAUAAUGAACCUGCGAGUUGUGUUGUUUGGCAAGGUUAAAUUGAAGCCGGAGCGAAAGCGAGUCUUAAUAGGGCGAUUAGUCAAACAGUGCAGACCCGAAACCGAGUGAUCUAUCCAUGUGCAGGUUGAAGCUGGUGUAAGAGCCAGUGGAGGACCGAACGGGUAAGCGUUGAAAAGCUUUCCGAUGACGUGUGGAUGGGGGUGAAAGGCCAAUCAAACUCGGUGAUAGCUGGUUCUCUCCGAAAUAUAUUUAGGUAUAGCCUCGAGUAGUAGCAUAGAGGGGUAGAGCACUGAAUGGGCUAGGGCUGCUCACCGCGGUACCAAACCCAAUCAAACUCCGAAUACUCUAUGUGUAAUCUCGGGAGUCAGGCGAUGGGUGAUAAAAUCCACCGUCGAGAGGGGAACAACCCAGACUGCCAACUAAGGUCCCAAAGUUCUAUCUAAGUGGAAAACGAUGUGACAUUGCUUUGACAAUUAGGAGGUUGGCUUAGAAGCAGCCACCCUUUAAAGAAAGCGUAACAGCUCACUAAUCUAGCGAUGAUGCGCGGAAAAUAUAACGGGGCUAAGAUAGACACCGAAGUUGCAGACUCUGAACUUGUUUCAGAGUGGUAGGAGAGCGUUCUAAGGUCGCUGAAGAUGUACCGACGAGGAGCAUUGGAGAGCUUAGAAGUGAGCAUGCAGGUAUGAGUAGCGAUAAAAGAGGUGAGAAUCCUCUUCGCCGAAAACCCAAGGUUUCCUACACGAUGCUCGUCAUUGUAGGGUUAGUCGGGUCCUAAGUCGAGUCCGAAAGGGGUAGACGAUGGCAAAUCGGUUAAUAUUCCGAUACCAGUUGUAGAGCGUGAUGGAAGGACGCAUAGGGCUAUCUGAGGUCGCUGAUGGAUUAGCGGCUCGAAGCACAAAGUUAAGGGAAUUGGUAAAUCCGUCCCUGUUUGCGAAGUGUUACAGGCUCUUCAAACCCUUCGGGGAGCGAGGAGAAUCAGGGAUGCCGUCGUGCCUAGAAAAGUUCCUAAGCAUAUCUACAAUUGCCCGUACCGUAAACCGACACAGGUGGGUGAGAUGAGUAUUCUAAGGCGCGCAGAAGAACUGUGAUUAAGGAACUCUGCAAAAUAGCACCGUAUCUUCGGUAUAAGGUGUGCUUUCUUCGGAAAGUCUCAGCAAAGAGUCCCUCCCGACUGUUUACCAAAAACACAGCACUCUGCCAACAAGCGAUUGGAUGUAUAGGGUGUGACACCUGCCCGGUGCUGGAAUGUUAAGGGGAUGUGUUAGGCAACGAAGCAUUGAACCGAAGCACCAGUAAACGGCGGCCGUAACUAUAACGGUCCUAAGGUAGCGAAAUUCCUUGUCGGUUAAAUACCGACCUGCAUGAAUGGUGUAACGAGAUGGGAGCUGUCUCAAUCACAGAUCUGGUGAAAUUGUAGUGGAGGUGAAAAUUCCUCCUACCCGCGGAAAGACGGAAAGACCCCGUGGACCUUUACUAUAGCUUGACACUGCAGAUGGGAUAUUUAUGUGCAGGAUAGGUGGGAGCUGUCGAUAUAUGGACGCUAGUUCAUAAGUAGGCAUCCUUGAGAUACCACCCUUAAAUAUUCUGUUUGCUAACUGCGAUGAGUUAUCCUCAUUCAGGACAAUGUCUGGUGGGUAGUUUGACUGGGGCGGUCGCCUCCUAAAGAGUAACGGAGGCUUACAAAGGUUGGUUCAAAACGGUUGGAAAUCGUUUGUAGAGUGUAAUGGCAUAAACCAGCCUGACUGUAAGACAUACACGUCAAGCAGAGACGAAAGUCGGUCAUAGUGAUCCGGUGGUUUUGCGUGGAAGAACCAUCGCUCAAAGGAUAAAAGGUACCCCGGGGAUAACAGGCUGAUCUCCCCCAAGAGCUCACAUCGACGGGGAGGUUUGGCACCUCGAUGUCGGCUCAUCGCAUCCUGGGGCUGGAGCAGGUCCCAAGGGUAUGGCUGUUCGCCAUUUAAAGCGGUACGCGAGCUGGGUUCAGAACGUCGUGAGACAGUUCGGUCCCUAUCUUCCGUGGGCGCAGGAAAGUUGAGAAGGUUUGUCCCUAGUACGAGAGGACCGGGAUGAACGUGCCACUGGUGUACCAGUUGUUCUGCCAAGAGCAUCGCUGGGUAGCUAAGCACGGUUGUGAUAAGAGCUGAAAGCAUCUAAGCUCGAAGCCAUCUUCAAGAUGAACUUUCCCUGAAGAUAACUUGAAGACUACAAGUUUGAUAGGUUGGAUGUGUAAGUGUAGUGAUACAUUUAGCUGACCAAUACUAAUCAAUCGUUUGACUUUUCCAA